rnacentral:lncRNA from 1 species
CUGCCGUUUGCUGCUGGCUCCCCGCCGUGGCAGCUGGCUCGGUUCCACCAGGCUCCGCCCUCCUCUUGCUUGAUCUUCACCUUGCAUCAUGCACACAGGUGCGAUUAUCUGUGCAGAAGGAUCUGGUGAAGUUGACUCAUUGAUGUUUAUAAAUCAAAACCAAAAAUACUCCUCCUUUCUGAAUGUUGAACUUGACAUCUGCUCGUCCCGGCUGAGGAGGCUCUACCCCACAUUCCUACAAAUGUGGAAUCGAACAGGCAUGUUGGUGGCAUCUCCAAACAGACUUGGAGAGCUUAUGCAGGCUAUCAGGAGAGGACACGACCUCUCC